rnacentral:lncRNA from 1 species
AGUGCAAAUAGAUUGCUCUGUUCACCACAAACUACAUAUUCCAACUUUAGCCUCUCAAGAGGAGCAACAAAGGUCCUGAUACACCACAAUAUCAAUAUAUGAGGAGUGCAAAUAGAUUGCUCUGUUCACCACAAACUACAUAUUCCAACUGUAGCCUCUCAAGAGGAGCAACAAAGGUCCUGAUACACCACAAUAUCAAUAUAUGAGAUGUCAUAAUGUCCCACUCUAACUAGUCCUCAUAAGUUAACUACUGUUUCUGAAGGGCAGCUCAAUAGGAGAGAGUAAAGUCAUGAACAAGGUCCAAAAAUUUGUAUAUGAGAAAAAGAAGAUAAAUGGUGAUACGGUGGGAUCUGAAUCACAAAAUUCUUAUACUAAACAACGUUAUAUAUAAGACAAGAAUUUGAAGUUUCAUCACGUACAGGAUCUGAAACUGACAAACCAAAAAA